rnacentral:rRNA from 1 species
UACGUAGGGUGCAAGCGUUGUCCGGAAUUAUUGGGCGUAAAGAGCUCGUAGGCGGUUUGUCGCGUCUGCUGUGAAAACUCGGGGCUUAACUCCGGGCCUGCAGUGGGUACGGGCAGACUUGAGUACUGCAGGGGAGACUGGAAUUCCUGGUGUAGCGGUGAAAUGCGCAGAUAUCAGGAGGAACACCGGUGGCGAAGGCGGCUUGCUGGGCCAGUUCUGACGCUGAGGAGCGAAAGCGUGGGGAGCGAACAGG